CGUAACAAGGUUUCCGUAGGUGAACCUGCGGAAGGAUCAUUACCUAGAGUUUGUAGACUUCGGUCUGCUACCUCUUACCCAUGUCUUUUGAGUACCUUCGUUUCCUCGGCGGGUCCGCCCGCCGAUUGGACAACAUUCAAACCCUUUGCAGUUGCAAUCAGCGUCUGAAAAAACAUAAUAGUUACAACUUUCAACAACGGAUCUCUUGGUUCUGGCAUCGAUGAAGAACGCAGCGAAAUGCGAUAAGUAGUGUGAAUUGCAGAAUUCAGUGAAUCAUCGAAUCUUUGAACGCACAUUGCGCCCCUUGGUAUUCCAUGGGGCAUGCCUGUUCGAGCGUCAUUUGUACCUUCAAGCUCUGCUUGGUGUUGGGUGUUUGUCUCGCCUCUGCGUGUAGACUCGCCUUAAAACAAUUGGCAGCCGGCGUAUUGAUUUCGGAGCGCAGUACAUCUCGCGCUUUGCACUCAUAACGACGACGUCCAAAAGUACAUCUUUACACUCUUGACCUCGGAUCAGGUAGGGAUACCCGCUGAACUUAAGCAUAUCA
rnacentral:rRNA from 1 species